rnacentral:rRNA from 1 species
UUUGACCUCGGAUCAGGAGGA